rnacentral:lncRNA from 1 species
GGGGCCAAGGGGUCUGGUUUUAUAGUCCCUUCAAGUGAAUAUGGGCCGUUAGAUCAAACCGACAUUGAUUGAAUGGUUAUCCUUGAUCCUUUAGGUCGGUGGAGAUCUUUCCCGAAAGAGUGUCCUGAUUGGACUCCAACAGGGGGCGAGCGCCCAGGUCAACUGGGCAGGCACCCAGUGCCUGGCCCCGUUCGGCCUCCGCUUCCUUCCCGUGGCUUCUGGAGUCUUCUAGAUGUAAGAUUAUUGCGCGGCACGUUGAUAUCUCUAUGUAAUCCCGACGUAUGGGCCUUUCUUCCGUAUUUCCUGAUAACCCUCUGCAGAAAUAGACAAACACCAAAACUCAUGGAAUUCUGUCAGAUAAAACCCUAAGUCUAGAUGUUUAUUUCAUUUGGAUCCUUUUCUUUGUUUAUUUUAUAAUUAAAUUUGAUACUUAAGAACCGUCAACAAACUCCCCCAAGCUUACCUCUUGCUCGUCCCUGAGCAAGGAUAGAUUAGAAGUUGUUGCAAUACUUUUAAAAAUUGACGGUACACAUGCUCUUUAAAUAAAAUCUCAUCUCUGAGUUAGAGUAAACUAUCAAGACUUAAAACUUAUUCAUUUUACCUUUCACCAUGGGACUUGUAACCGUCACUUCUGUCUUGAGUAGUUAAAAGAUAGAACAGUCUAGCCAAGUGCCAUGUCUCUUAUUCUUGAUCAGCUAUAGCUCUGGAGUUUUUGCACAUUUUCAAAUAAAACUCAGAGAUUCCUUGUAUGAGUCUCUUAGAUCUCUCUUUUGUGGUAUUUGUAGAUCCUUACCAAGGCAGUGAUGGUAUAUGCCUUCUCUCAAAAUAUGUGGUAUUUGUGGUAUAAAGCAUAGUGACAUUGCCUUCUCUCUCACCCUACUCUAAUAAGACUUUUAAUAUCUGGAGCUCAUAGGUGGGAGAUAAAGUAUACAUACUUACAAGACAUUUAUUACAUAGUCAAACCAUGGAUCCAAAGAAACAAAUCAAUAUGUCAAAUCAAGAUGUGCAUGUGUGGCGAAUGAAUGGUGUAUGGUGAUGAUGGUGAUAACAAUGGUGAAAGCCUAAUUCUACUUUUUCUCUUUGAGGGGAUACAUACCUUCCUUGCUUUUUGAAAUUUUGUGAGAAGAAUGAGAUGCUCUUCUUUUUUCUUUUUCUUUCCUCUCAGGUGGGUAUCUUGUACCCCUAAUUCUACUAUCGGACACUUGUCCAUUUUUACUUCUCGUCUCACUCUUUUUUUUUCUUCCGAGGUUCCGGGCACUUGCCCCUUUUUAUUUCCUCGUAUUUUCUCUUUUUCUCUUUUUUAAGCACUCAUCUCAUGAGAUAAUAUAGCAAGUGGUAGUAACCAAGAUAACUUGAGCAUUUAUUUCACAAGGGAAAAACAGAAAUAUUUUUGGCUAUUCUCUCCCGGUUAGGAGUAGAAUAUUUUUGGGUGAUUCUGGAGAUGGAAAUGAGUGGAUAUAUGUGGAUGAUACUUCCGGAGUAGAAGUAGCAUGUAUGAGUGAACGUGCAAGUGAAUCUUGAUUUAACCACAUGACAAGCUCCUAGGGGUCUACACAACUUGACCACACUCAAUGCUCAUAAGCAGUAAAAAGUAAAUGUGUGGCUCAAAAUCUAGCAAGCAUGUAUAUAUGGCUGUGGUAGGAAUUUAAACUCUCAUCAUACAGGAACUCAACAUAUGUUAUUUUAAAGAUUUUCAAAGAUAAAAUUCUCCAGAAUUUCUAGCAUCUCUAGGAACAGAUAAACAACAACCCAACCUUCCCAUAUCGUAUCCGUUAACAACUUAGACUUCAGAUCAAGUUUUCAUCCCACAAGUUUAGGUUUAGAGCAAGCUAUAAAUUAUAACAGUUAUAUCUAAACUAGUGAGAGAACUUCAAAUUUGCAAAUUAGGCAAAGCAACUAUUCAUCAUAUCCAUGCUAGAGUUUUAUUUAGAUACAGUUUAGCAUAGCCACUUUAUUUAUUUAUUAAACACACUAAGCAAAAGACAUAUAUUUAUAUAUAAGCACAAAAUCUUUAUUUGGUUUUUCAUAGUUAUUUAUAUUUAUAUUUUAAUAUAAUAUAAGUGUAAAGAUAGAUAGAAAUACUUAUCGGGAUAAAUGGGGGUGCUCUCCCCCAAGCUGAAUUUUGACAUAAUUUCUCUUGAUGUAGCUAGCAGGUGGCAGAGGUGUAUUUAAAAGUCAGCAGUAUUCUGACAGUGAUUAGAAUGUCCUCCGUUUGCUAGUCUUCUUGAUUCUUGAUUUCUGUGGAGCUCAAAUAGACAACAAAGAUUUGUGGAACUGAUUAAGUGUUAGCAUAAGUAUCUAGCCUUUAUCAUGUUGAGCCUUCUCAAUAAAUGUUACUCCCUAUUUUUAUAUUUUCAUUUUAUAAAGCAGAAAAGAAAUAUUUAUUUUAUUUUUAUGCCACCACAGUGAAUGUACUUAUGGGUUUU